ensembl:snoRNA SNORD18 Small nucleolar RNA SNORD18
UGGUGGUGAUGAAAUUCCACUCCAUUGGUCCGUGUUUCUGAGCCAUGUGAUUUCUCAGAUGUUCUGAUGCU